rnacentral:rRNA from 1 species
AACGUAGGGGACAAGCGUUAUCCGGAUUUACUGGGCGUAAAGCGCCCGUAGGCGGCCUGACAAGUUGGACGUGAAAGCUCCUGGCUUAACUGGGAGAGGCCGUUCAAAACUGUCAAGCUAGAGUCUGGAAGAGGAGUGUGGAAUUCCUGGUGUAGCGGUGAAAUGCGCAGAUAUCAGGAGGAACGCCAAUGGCGAAGGCAGCACUCUGGGACGUGACUGACGCUGAGACGCGAAAGCGUGGGGAGCAAACAGG